rnacentral:rRNA from 1 species
CAUAUCAAUAAGCGGAGGAAAAGAAACCAACAGGGAUUGCCCUAGUAACGGCGAGUGAAGCGGCAACAGCUCAAAUUUGAAAUCUGGCUCUUUUAGAGUCCGAGUUGUAAUUUGCAGAGGGCGCUUUGGCGUUGGCAGCGGUCCAAGUUCUUUGGAACAGGACGUCACAGAGGGUGAGAAUCCCGUACGUGGUCGCUAGCCUUCGCCGUGUAAAGCCCCUUCGACGAGUCGAGUUGUUUGGGAAUGCAGCUCUAAAUGGGAGGUAAAUUUCUUCUAAAGCUAAAUACUGGCCAGAGACCGAUAGCGCACAAGUAGAGUGAUCGAAAGAUGAAAAGCACUUUGGAAAGAGAGUCAAAUAGCACGUGAAAUUGUUGAAAGGGAAGCGCUUGCAGCCAGACUUGCCUGUAGUUGCUUAUCCGGACUUUUGUCCGGUGCACUCUUCUGCGGGCAGGCCAGCAUCAGUUUGGGCGGUUGGAUAAAGGUCUCUGUCAUGUACCUCCUUUCGGGGAGGCCUUAUAGGGGAGACGACAUGCAACCAGCCUGGACUGAGGUCCGCGCAUUUGCUAGGAUGCUGGCGUAAUGGCUGUAAGCGGCCCGUCUUGAAACACGGACCAAGGAGUCUAACAUCUAUGCGAGUGUUUGGGUGUCAAGCCCAGACGCGUAAUGAAAGUGAACGGAGGUGGGAACCUUUUAGGUGCACCAUCGACCGAUCCUGAUGUCUUCGGAAGGAUUUGAGUAAGAGCAUGGCUGUUGGGACCCGAAAGAUGGUGAACUAUGCUUGAAUAGGGUGAAGCCAGAGGAAACUCUGGUGGAGGCUCGCAGCGGUUCUGACGUGCAAAUCGAUCGUCAAAUUUGGGCAUAGGGGCGAAAGACUAAUCGAAC